rnacentral:rRNA from 1 species
UACAGGGGGGGCAAGCGUUGUUCGGAAUUACUGGGCGUAAAGGGCUCGUAGGCGGCCAACUAAGUCCGACGUGAAAUCCCAAAGCUUAACUUUGGAACUGCGUCGGAUACUGGAUGGCUUGAAUUCGGGAGAGGGAUGCAGAAUUCCAGGUGUAGCGGUGAAAUGCGUAGAUAUCUGGAGGAACACCGAUGGCGAAGGCAGGUCUCUGGGCAUUAACUGACGCUGAGGAGCGAAAGCAUGGGGAGCGAACAGG